CACCGAACGGUCGGCAGGCGAUCCGCGUCGGUCGUGCGAGGUGGUAUGGUUCCCCAGAGGCCGGUUCUUGUGCUGCCUACCCCUUCAAGGGAAGCGGGCCACUUGAUGUAAGCCUCCAUCCUGCGCCUUUCAAUGGGCGCAGGAGGACAACAGAGCACCCCCCGCGUUCCACCGAGCCUUCUCGGUCGCGUGGCCCGCGGGGACGUGCGAUGCUCUCGGACCCAGCACACGCCGUGGGCGAGGACUCACGUCCCAGUCCCGAAAAUAAGCUCCGAUAUAAUGCUGACGGCCGCUCUCGCCCCCCGACCGCCCCAGCUGCGCGGGGGCGGGGCGCGGCGUCGCAGAGGAAUGCUACCU
rnacentral:misc_RNA from 1 species